rnacentral:lncRNA from 1 species
AUCCAAAGGAAAGGCAAAGAGGGGAUACCUAGUCAGCUGUCCAACUGAAUGUAUUCAACUGAAAUGUGUCUUCCACAUUUAACCCAAACCCUCUGAAUCAGAGAGGUGCUGCCUUAAUCGACAUCCACGUCUUCGGCGCCCGGGGAACAGUGGGUUAACUGCCUUGCUCAAGGGGCAGAAUAUCCAGCCACCCCUCCCUCCGUCUAUCCAUCCAUUCCGUCUCCCCCCCUCAAUCCGCACCUCCAUCUGUUCUGAUUGAAGCGAUAGUAAGAGGCAGUGUGUACGCCACAACGGUUGACUGCGUCUGACAUAUAACGUCCUUUCACUCAUGAAAAGAGCACCAGCUAAUGGAACACGGCUCUGUUUCACGGAAGGAUCCAGAAGGUUUCUAGAGAAGUCAGGUAAUGGCUGUUUCCCCCAUGCAGACAGACCUAGACUGGCCUGAAAAUGGCCCCCUACUUACUGUGAGAGCCCUGGUCAACAGUAGUGCACUAUAUAGGGAAUAGGGUGCUAUUCUGGUCAACAGUAGUGCACUAUAUAGGGAAUAGGGUGCUAUUCUGGUCAACAGUAGUGCACUAUAUAUAGGGAAUAGGGUGCCAUUCUGGUCAACAGUAGUGCACUAUAUAUAGGGAAUAGGGUGCCAUUCUGGUCAACAGUAGUGUACUAUAUAGGGAAUAGGGUGCCAGCCUGGUCAAUAGUAGUGUACUAUAUAGGGAAUAGGGUGCCAGCCUGGUCAACAGUAGUGUACUAUAUAGGGAAUAGGGUGCCAGCCUGGUCAACAGUAGUGUACUAUAUAGGGAAUAGGGUGCCAGCCUGGUCAACAGUAGUGUACUAUAUAGGGAAUAGGGUGCUGCCAUUUAGGGCGCAGAACCUACUUCCUGUCAACAGAAGGAAGGGGAAGAAUCAAACUGGGCUCCGUGUCAUCCUGCUAAAGAGGUAACCCUGUCAAAAUCUCCCACGUUGUGUUGUCAGGUUGAAGAACAACAUAUGUUACAUUAUAAUUCCACUAGAGUACAUUUUUUUCCGCUGCAGCGAUGUAUUGGGUAGAGGAUAAUAUGUUGUCAGGCUCCUUACUGUUCUGUACAGUAGCCUGAUAGAUAUAGCUGUUCUACCACAGGGUCAGACAGAGGUCAGCGUCAGCCUGAAGGCUGUGCUGUAUUGGGCAUCAAAUAGACAUCUCACUACUCUCCUUUCUCUCCUCCAUCAAAAUCAAUACUUCCAAGUUCUCUCUGUCUACAAGGGUAGUUGUGUUAUGUCAGGGAGUUGAACUACUGUGUGAAAGUGUGAAAGUACAAUGUUUAAUAAAAAAAUUAAAAAAUUAAAAAAUAAAAACAUCUAUACUUCAACUAUCUGUGUCUACAAGACAAAAGGAACGUUCUUGUAAUGUUAAAAGAGUUUAAAUAACCUGUGAAAGUCCAUGAGGGUUUAAUUAUUCAGGAAAUGAAUUUUAAUUUGAAAAAUGAACUGAUCCCAAGCCUGUUUAAGACAGAUGGUUCUGUAGGUGGAAGACCAGUGGUGAAUUGAAAAGGCCUCCCAGUACCCACAACCUCCAAGACAUAAUAUUCACAUGGUGUUGUUGGCUGUAUGACCUUACGGCUUUAAACUUCUCAAACCCAUUACAGAACAGAGCUCUACUUCUCUGUUUUUAAUAUCCUCUCUUCCUCUAUCCCUGUUUCCCCUUUAUUGAUUUUACAGAUAUCAAAGUUAAUGAGUUUCUCCCUAUAAGUAAAGACCCAGUUUAAAGCGCUAUAGUGUAUAGCCAUCGCUGAACAGCGUUGGUCUCCCUGUUGUCUCUACAAUAUCUAUCCCCCUGCUGCCCAGUCUGCUUUACAAAUGCCUCCCUAUAGGACAGGUCAAUAGAAGUGCACUAUACAGGGGAAAGGGUGCCAUUUGGGACAUACCCUUGGCCUUCCUUCUAAAGUCCCUGGUCCUCCUGCUCCUCUCAGCUCUAGAGGUUUAGAGAGAGGUGUUGUCAUGGUAAAGUCCCUGGUCCUCCUG